rnacentral:rRNA from 1 species
AGAAUCAACGCUGGCGGCGUGCCUCAGACAUGCAAGUCGAACGCGAAAGUCCCCUUCGGGGGGCAAGUAGAGUGGCGCACGGGUGAGUAACACGUAGGUAAUCUACCUUUGGAUGGGGGAAUAACAAUCGGAAACGAUUGCUAAUACCGCAUAAUGCAGCGGCACCACAUGGUGACAGUUGUUAAAAGCAUUUAUGCGCUUGAAGAGGAGCCUGCGGCAGAUUAGCUAGUUGGUAAGGUAAUGGCUUACCAAGGCUACGAUCU